AUGAAGCUGGGUCCUCCUGGCUCAGGGACCAGCACCACUACCGAGAGGGCAUCUGCCUCCCUGCCGGCUCCGGCUCCGGCCCCGCUGGCCACGGCCACAGCUCUGCACUCACCGACCGUGGCUCUGCUCCCUCUGGCCACUUCUGCGCCAACGAGGAGCCCUUCGAGGCAACAGUCAGGGAGCAGCUCUGCGAUCCCAGGGAGACAGACUGGACCCAGCCCAGAGGCCCAGCCGGCCAGCAAAGAGCCGACUGGAAGCCCAGAGGCCCCGAACUCGGAUACCGCUGUGCCAGCCCACCUUCCAGAGUUGGCGUUUGUGGUCCUGAAGGCAGAUUUCAACUUCCUGACUCCCAUGGACCCUGAGGAAAUGAAAGAACAGAUCCUUUGGGAGGUGAGGUCCUGCAAACCCCCCACGCCCCUGCCAGGAGUGCAUACCCCAACACCAAAUCAACAGAGAGGAGACUUUACCCAUGACUUUAGUCUAUUUCCCAAGACCAGGUCAUCCGGCCCGGGUCGCAUCAUCCCAAGGUCCCAGCAGCCUCCUCCUAGAAUCGUUCUUUCUACUUCCACCUACUUGUUCACUUCUAAGUGCUCCCAGUCAGAGACUUGUAGCAUCUGGCAAAUCCAGAGAGAACCAAAUAGUUCCCUUCCCCUGCUUCAUCUCGAUCAGUAGCGUAUACUGAGCAGCAAUUUGCUGCAGAGCACUGUACUUAGCGCUAGGGAGAGUGCACCAGAAGUAAAAAGACACUGUUUCUGCCGUCGAGGAAUUAAAAGUCAGUGGGGAUUGACUAUGGGAAAAUAAUAAUAAUAAUAAUGUUGGUAUUUGUUAAGCGCUUACUAUGUGCCGAGCACUGUUCUAAGCGCUGGGGUAGACAUAGGGGAAUCAGGUUGUCCCACGUGGGGCUCACAGUCUUAAUCCCCAUUUUACAGAUGAGGGAACUGAGGCACAGAGAAGUUAAGUGACUUGCCCACAGUCACACAGCCGACAAGUGGCAGAGCUGGGAUUCGAACUCAUGAGCCCUGACUCCAAAGCCCGUGCUCUUUCCACUGAGCCACGCUGCUUUUGAGUCGAUUCAUUAGCAUGUUUGACGUAUAAGCCAUGGGGUGACUUUUGUUUCUUUGUGAACAAAAUCCUCUCCCAUCAACUAGAGGUGUUUAGUGCGUGCUUAUUGUGUGCAGAGCACUGUACUAAGUGCUUGGGAGAGUACAACAGAGUUGGUAGACACAUUCCCUGCCCACAAGGAGCUUACAGUCUAGAGGGGGAGACAGACAUUAAAAUAUAUUAAGGAAAUGUAGAUGUUAUCUCUUCCCCUCUUCAAAGCCCUAUUGAGAGCCCACCUCCUCCAGGAGGCAUUCCCAGCCUGAGCCCCCCUUGCCCUCUGCUCCUCCUCCCCUCCCCAUUCCCUCCUCCCACCCUCUGCUCUUCCCCAUUCCCCACAGCACUGUGCAUAUUUAAAUAUUAAUUACUCUUUAUUUUAAUGAUGUGUAUAUAUCUAUGAUUCUAUUUAUCUUGGUGAUAUCUACGCCAGACUACUUGUUUUGUCUGUUUUGCUUUGCUGUCUAUCUCCCCAGUUUAGACUGUGAGCCCGUUACUGGGCAGGGAUUGUCUCUAUUGCUGAAUUGUACAUUCUAAGCGCUUAGUACAGUGCUCUGCACAUAGUAAGUGCUCAAUAAAUACGAUUGAAUGAAUGGUGAAAAUCAAGUGAUCAGACCAAUCCAAUAGGUUUUCUGGUUCUUUCAAGAAAGAGCCCCUCCAAGAG
rnacentral:lncRNA from 1 species